UAUUUUUUGAUGAGCUGCAUGCAACUGAAUCUCGGAAAAUGGUGGAGAGACUAGUUAAUUAUGUUAUCUACAAGGGAACAUUUCUCCCAUUGGUAGUACCACCAACAUUAGUUAGAGCAGGAUUGUGGUCAACAUGGUUGACUAUAUUAUGCUAUUUGAAGAUGUUUCAAGCUCUAGCACGGGAUCAACUUGAACGGUUGAAUGCAUCUCCUUCUGCAACUCCAUGGACUUACUUCCGUGUAUAUUGUGUUUUAUUGCUGGUUGUCAUUGUUGAUGCAGUCUGGAUAAGGACAUGCCUACUGAUCUACCAAACAAUACCAUCAUUAUGUAGAGUGAAGAUACGGUGGAAAAAGCAGCAUCUGUUGUUAUAGAAUUUAGUUUGGAUGUUGAGGAGAUUAUUACUGAGGAGAAUAAUAAUGGUGAAGAUGUGACAGAGAAGGCAAGAGAAGCAGAUGUAAAGGUUGUGGAGGAUUUGGAUUUGGAUUUGGAUUCGAGGCAACCAAGUUUGACCCAUGUCUUGUUAAUCUAAUCAUAUGCUUUCUAUAUAUAAUUAAUGUUGAAUAUAUGAUAUAUAGUAUUUAUUAUAUGAAGUUACUUUAUCAUCUGAAUAUGAAACUGAAACUGGUUAGAGAUGAUUAUCUAUUGGCAUAGGAAGAUGAGAAUGUUAAAUAGAAUAGUGUUUUGUUAGAUCAUUGUUAAUUUGUUGUAAGGUAAAUACGACAUCACAUAUUCAAAGGGUAAAAAAGCUAAGAUCUUGAGUUGUGUUAAAUAUAAUAGUGCUUUUUUUAGAUCAUUGUUCUUUUUUUUUUUUUAAAUUAGCUUAAACAGAUGCUGGUGAUGUGAAUAUUGAGGAGGACAUGGACAUGGAUACUAGUGGUCAAAGUCCUGAUAUUGUUCCUGUUCCUAAACAACAAAAUGAGGUCAGGUUAAGGUUACUUUAUUUAUUUCUUAUAUAAAAAAAUAUUUGUAAAAAAUCAGAUUAUUCCUAACAAACAAACACUGAGUUCUAACUUUUAAUAAAUAGGAGGAGGAGGAGGAGCAUCGGAGGAUAAAUAAAAAAACGAAUAAGAGAAAGAAGAAUAAGAUUGAUCUAAAAAAGCGUCGCCAGAGCCUUACAGCCUUACAGGUAGGUUAGGUCAUAGGUGGUGUUUAUUAUUACUCUACUCACUCGUUCAUCUUUAUGUUAAAAAUUUAUGAAUGAAAGUGAAACACAUAUUUUUAUUUAUUUAUUUAUGAUUUAUGAUUUAUGAUAUAAAAAAUAAUGGGAGGGAAUGAGAAUGGGAAUGGCAGGGGCUGGGUCUAGUUGGACGUCAUCUGGAGUAAGAUGAAGCAGCAGAAUUAAAAGGAGACCGUUGGAAUAUUGGAAGGGAGAAAGACUCUUAUACGCUCGAGUCCAUAACAGCCUGCCGAUAGUUAUUGGUGUGAAAUAUAUAUCUCCAACAAGUAUGGAGGAAGGUGGAUUCAAGGUGGA